ACGUCAGUCGUAAAAUGAGUUUAACCGUGUUUCAUGUUGAUCCUUCACGUUAUGACCAGCACGAGAUGCGCACACUGUCAGGUGGUUGUUUUCCAUCGUCCAUAAAUUGACACAUGCAGCUUUUGAAGCACUACUUUAAGUCCUCACGUGAGGUCGGCGUCUCCCCUGUGCAGUGUUUGCUGUGCAGCGAGUGUGACAUCUGCAGGCUGCAGGCAGGAGCACACGUUUGUGUGUCACAUUAGCUCUGUGUCAUACAGCAUGUGUGUAUGUGUGUCUCCUGCACAGAACUACCUGUUAUGUUUUGUCCAACCCCAUAGCGAGACCCUGUGUGUGUGUUUUUGUUUUUGUGUACGUGGGUGUCCGUGUCCUCUGCAGGGUGUAUAAGUGGGUCUGAGUUUCCUUUCCCUGUGUCCUCCCUUGGCGCCUCUUCCCUUCCUGAUGACUUGUGUGUGGUGUUUGUAGUGGAACUGGACAAAGGACCCUACGGACUGGGCAUGGGACUCAUCGACGGCCUGGUACCGCCUCCUCCUGCUGAUCGCCCUCCUGAGCCGUGAGAGGACAGACGUGUGCACGCGCAGAUGACGCUCCGAACCGCUUCCCCUCCCGGCGAACCUGUAACCCAUCACAAGGAAUACGCUGCGAGGGCAAAGUGGCCUAAUUAAUCAGCGGUUGAGGCACGCCAGGUAAUACGCCAGAUAACACGCCAGUCUGAUGUGGUUUUCAAAGCACAGCCGAGUUUCUCUUCAGUCCGCGAUCAGAGCUUGUGACCACAUCACUUUUUUUUUUUUUUUUCACCUGUAUUUUUAGAAACUCAGUCAUUAAGUAGCGUGGUAAAAUAGCUACCCAGCUCUCUAACGGAAGGACUCUGAAACGCUUCUUUAUGAUUCCAAGAGACUUUGCAGAGGAACAAGAGGACGCCCUCGGUGAACCUGGAGGCUUUUACACAGCGCUUUAAGUGCGUUGGAGGUUUUAUAUUUCGGUUUGUUGGCCACUCAAAGUCUGCUCAACAGACCCUUGUGUCCAAAUGUUGCCUUUAGUCGUUUUGUACUGGAGUGUGGGUCACCGAGGGAGGCGACUCGAGACCCGCAGACCUCUCUGCUCUCCCAUUUCCCUUUUAACUUAACCGCUGGACUUUAUACCGCAGCUGGGAAAAGAGCAGCUGUGGGGAUGUGCAGAUGUUGUGGGACAUUCUUUAUUAUAUAUGACUGGAUCAUCGGGGAAACGCGCUUCACUUUCUAAUGCACAACCCCUGUUUAAACAAAGCUCACUUUUGUUGUGAAUAUAUGCUUUAUGUAUCUGGUUACGGGGAGUGAAAUAGUGUGUAAAUAUGUAACACUUGGUCACACACUGUUUGAGCAGUCAGAAGAGAAACUAAUCAAUCAUGGUCAAUAUACUGGUCACUAAAACCUACGGAUGGAAAGGAUUCUUUUUCUAAAAGUUAUAAAUGUAUUAAAGUACUAUGAACAGGAAUUAAAGCUGCACUUUUUGGGGGGGCGACGACACCCAAUUUACAAAAAACUUUUGUACUGCUUUGAGCUGUGCACAAUGCAGGUAAGAGAACCAACAUGUUUUCAUGUCAUUCGGCUUUUUAAGAGUUCCAGAUCGCCUUUUAUUUUUAUAAAGUCCAAAACUUUGGUCACUGCAGAAGGAAAGCCACGAUGAGUCGGUUCUGUGCCACGCGGCGUCCUGAUGUGACCACCGUUCCGGGAGCAGUAACCCGCUGCAGAACCAGACGUUUUGUUUGCUCUCAUGUACAAGCAACUGCCCCCAACUUACUACAAAUCUUCCUUCCAGUUGAUCAAAAUAAUCUGUCCAAAUCCAAAAGAUUUCUUUUAAAAGUAUCAAACCCAAACAACAUAUGAGAAAGUUAAACCAGCACCAAAGCUGACGGCUUCAUUUCUAUUUGUCAGCCUGAACAUCGUUUCUCGCCGCCUCAGCUUUGUUUUACUUUACUUUUUUGCAGUAACAGUUUGAGUUCUCAAAUUUGUAUUACAAUGAUCUUGUGCAUGUCCAUUAUUUAUACUGUUGUGACAAUGAUGGUACCCAGAAUAAAGCUGGUUGGAUACC
ensembl:lncRNA